rnacentral:rRNA from 1 species
UACGGAGGGUGCAAGCGUUGUCCGGAUUCAUUGGGCGUAAAGGGUGCGUAGGUGGCGCGCUAAGUCAGGUGUGAAAUUUCGGAGCUUAACUCCGAAACUGCAUUUGAUACUGGCGUGCUUGAGGACUGGAGAGGAGACUGGAAUUCAUGGUGUAGCAGUGAAAUGCGUAGAGAUCAUGAGGAAGACCAGUGGCGAAGGCGGGUCUCUGGACAGUUCCUGACACUGAGGCACGAAGGCCAGGGGAGCAAACGGG